GGGGAGAAAUGGUUUCUUUUUCCUCUUGACAGUUAACAUAAUGAAAGGGGGAGCUUCCUUUCUUCUUGUCCACGACACUCACCAAAAACCAGAUUCACUGAUAUAGAGAAAUCGUAGAGAGUAGAAAAAACAGAGUGAAUUGAAGAGAGAGAGAGGAGGAUAAGAGAGGUUAGAAAACACGAGGAGAGAUCGGAAGUAGGGGGUUGAAUGGAGAGCCGUUUCUCUUGACUUUUCCGGCAAGCCCUCACCGAAACCUGUCGAAAACACCGACCAGCUACCUCCUACCCCCACUUCUGGCCAAAACCAUAAACUCCAGCCACAAACGCCACUAUCACCAGAAAAUCCAACCCAUUUUUCGGUUUUCUGUCAUCGCCUAACCUUGUCCGAGGUCCGGUGAGACAAAAACAACACCCCAGUCCACAAAUGCUGCAGAUUACAACCCAAAAUUCAUUGGAACACGAUUGACACAGUAACGGGGCAUACACAUUCGAAUACGGGUCUUUUGUCACUUCGCAAUUUAGGUUCGAGUAGGCGAAAAAUAGAGCAAAAAUGGAUAUAACAAGUUGGUUGUGCGAAGUUGAGGUUUCAUUUGGGUCGAGGUUCUGCUAGUUUGUGGUUUCCGAAUCCAUGAGGCUUUUUCUCCGUUUAACAAAGCGUCAAUUUGUGCAAGGCAUGCUUCAUCUCAGGGAAGGCAAAGUAGGCAGAUGUGUGGUGAAAAAGAACCUGUGUUUGGAAAUCUUCAUCUCAUGCAUUUUUUAUUUGCGUAGUUUCUGACCAUUAAUCUUCUUCCUUGUGAUUCCAAGAAUUGACAGACUUUAAGACAACGAAGACAAGAUUGAACAACUCCUACGAUUGCAAACAAAGAAGAAAUCCUCAAAAUUAACUGUCACGAUAUCUAGACAUUGGACUGCAAUAGAUGCAUUGAGUAAGAUCGCGUCAUAUUUUGAACAGGUUAUAUGCAUCCGUUAAAACUAGAAGAAUUAAUAAGAGAUGACUGAUCACGCUAACCUAUACCUUUGUUGUCCAUAGCUCAACUUAUGUGGAGGUUGAAUCCACGAGGAGCGAAACUAGUCUUCAAGACUUAUGGGUGGCAAUGGCAUCUAAAGAUAUACUCGUAGUGAAGGCAAAAUAAGAUACAUGAUUUAAAAUGGGGGUUUGGUUGGAACGUGUUUCUAUCAAAGUCUAUUCAAAUUAACAACUAA